ACCACGACAACAGAAAAUAAAAGAGCAACACUUACAGGCACAUUUUUAUUUUAUACCUAUCGAAGUCAUUUAAAAUAUGACGCUACACCAACACUCAUUAAAAUACUAAUUAAAAAACAAAGAAACAUUGAGUUCUGCUCAGCCAACAGAAAGAAGGCAGAGGCCCGAAAAACAGGUCAGGGCCACCUCUGACAGAGGCGAAGGAGCUGGUCCUCAGCCAAAACAGUAGUCGACCGGUGGCUGAAGGAAACCCUGGGGGAAGCUCAUUCGAGCCCGUCACCCCCCCAGGAGGGGGGGUGCCUACAUCAGAUCAUGUUUCAGAGAGGAUGGCUGUCGAGGGUUACCAGCGGACAUCCGAGCAGUGCUGCAUUAAAUGCAAGAAUCUGCGGAGUGACUACCGUAAGGUGAAAGACCACAACAGCCGGAGUGGUGUUCACAGAAAAAUUGGAAGUGGCUAGAUAUGAUGGACUUAAUCUACGGACACAGACCGGCGAGUUUGGGACGAGAAGGAGGCAUCGAUAGGGCCACCUCGUUGCUGGAGUCGACGAUGGAGCCUCCCGUUGAGCAUCCUAGCUGUCGGGAGGAAAUGGAACCCCAAUUUCCACCCUUGAAAGCGCAAGUUCCCCUGCCAGGACUUCAACACCACCAGAAUCUUCUCCAUCAACUGGGAGUGAACCUCGGCGUAUUACAAUUGGCUGAGAUGCAGGAGUGGCUGGAAAAGAUGGAGACCGCUGUGACCGGCGCUUCUAACUUAUGAUGGAGGAUGCCCGUGAGGCAAGGCGGCAUGAGGCUGAUAUAACUCGCCUACAUAUGGAGCAGUCUGCGAACUUUAAUCAGGCCUUCCUCGGAACGCUCACUCAGCUGGUACUGGUGCACCCCAACUCUGUGCUAUGAUCCAGCCACUAGUGCUCUUUUGCACACAGCACUUUAGACUAGUUUACUUUUUUGGACUGGUUUACACUUGUUUACUUUGUUUGCACUCGUUUACUUUUGUUUGCAAUUUCUUUGACUUCAAAUUAAAGUACUUUUUUAUUACCUCUUGUGUCCUGUGUUCAAUGGCCAUCUCCCACAAUUCCUCCCUUAUCCAUUCUAUAA
ensembl:lncRNA